GUGAGAUGGCUGCUAAAGAGACUGAAGGGCUAUUGGGAAGUGACCCUUCAACUGCAGAUUGGCAAGAAGCUGUCCAGAGUGGGAGAACCAGGAGAACACAUGGAAUCCCUGUCAAAACAAUGUCGUUAAGGAUGUAGCAAUAUUUGUUCCACCAUCAGUGGCUACUGAACCCACAAAAAACAUGCUCAACAACAGAAAAGUUUGACGCACAGAAUGUUGGAGAAUAUACAUGGAACGUGAAUUUCAAAAUUGAUUCUCCACAUCUGGAGGCUGAUAUUAAGCGCUAAGCUCAACCAAUCAAGGAACAGAAGUAAUACCACGGGCGCUACAUGGCCUAUCAAAUUGAAACAACACCUCUCAGAUAUUAAAUAUAAAGUACUUAAAUAUAAAGAACACGAUGGCCUAAAGAUUUGGCAAUAGUCUAGCCAAGGACAUAAGCAUGUGUUUAAUUUUACCCAAUCAAGUAUUUUAAAUUAAUUAAAUGGAGUGACUCACAUGCUUAAAGUUAAACCUGCUCUUACGUAUUUUGGUGGACUGAGGCUUUACAAGCUAAGAAUUCUUUGCUACAGGCAUUUAUCUGAUAAAUUAUAAUGGAGAAAAUCACAAGUCGCAAAGGAAAAGGCAUUGGAAAAAUUAUGACCUGUCUACUCUUCACUUAGCAUUGUCUAUUCUUUUCCACAGCUACUGUAGCUAGGAGAUUCGCUUGGUAUGAAUUUGUUGUACAAUAAUGCUGAGUCCAUCCAAAUACAACAUCUUCAGCCAGUCUUUUAAUGCAUAUUAUCUCUGCAAGAGCUCUUUCUCCUGACAGCUUGUUCAGUGUAGGAGGAGAGGACAGCAUGUCCAAGGUGGUGUUUAACAAUAUCACUGGUCUUUUCCCUCUCAGGUUGUCAUUUUUUGUGUGCAGGAGGAGUUCUUUCACAGGCCCAUUUGCUGGUGAUAUUAUACUGCCACAAAAGAAGUCUAGGAAACCUCAUGCAUCCCCAAAAUAGAUUAGACUGAUAUUCAAACAGCUAUGGGAACAGAAUAUGUUGCAGUAUUAGUGACAGUGCCAUUAUUAACGUUCCCUUUUGUCAUCUCUUAUUCAGGACUGUUGCAAUUCAGUUUAUUAAUAGCUGGCGGGACGCAAGUAAGACUUUAUUAAUGUACACAGGAGAGAAUGUGUGUAAAAUUUCAAUGGCAAGGGAGUGUGGUUAGAGGAAAAUCUCUUGUGUUUUUUUUUCUGUGGUGUAAUCACAGAGAGAAAAUUCACUUGAAUGCAUUCAAGUGAUAACACACACCAUUCUGGGGAGAAUUGCAAAAACAUCUUUGAAAGGAUGCUGUACCAAGACUAUACAAACCUUUUUAAGAAUGAGCAAACAACCAGUUUUUAGAGAUCUUCAAAAUGCAACACUUCCUAAGUUAUUGCUUUUUAACUUGUCUUGUAAGUGUCAUUUCAUCUUGAAUCAUCAUAGCUUACUAGGAAAGCAUUGUGGUGUAGGAGUUAAGGACUGUGUAGUAUGUGUUAAAAUUAUAUUUGUGGUGAUGUUCUGAACUAAUAUCUUAACUUCUCAUGAGUCCGGAUGACAUUUAUGAAUAAUUCAUUCAAGACACGGUAAACUGAACUACAGCAAUUUCUUCCCAAGAGUUAUAUGGGAGAGCUAUUGACAAUACAAAAACUGAUGUUAACAAAAGGACAGCAGCAGAGACAGGACUGAAGAUAGA